UACGUAGGGGGCGAGCGUUGUCCGGAUUUAUUGGGCGUAAAGAGCGUGUAGGCGGCUUGGUAGGUCUGCUGUGAAAACUCGGGGCUCAACCCCGAGACGUCGGUGGAAACCACCUGGCUAGAGUCCGGAAGAGGAGAGUGGAAUUCCUGGUGUAGCGGUGAAAUGCGCAGAUAUCAGGAAGAAUAUCCGUGGCGAAGGCGGCUCUCUGGGCCGAGAUUGACGCUGAGGAGCGAAAGCGUGGGGAGCGAACAGG
rnacentral:rRNA from 1 species